UUGGGCCCAUUCAGAUAAACAGGGGAGAGGACUGUCAGAAACUCACCGAGCCCUUCACGGCACUCCCUAUCUCCGCAAGAAAUUUGGCAGACUGUUAUUACAGGAGAAACAGAUGCCAAGAUGGGAGUUAAUGCACAGGCGUUUCAUGAAGGAAAGAAAGCCUAUCCCUCGUGUCCCAAGGUCCGAAAGCACAAUGAAAACCGGCAUCAUUAUCCUCCAGCCGUGAAUGGGAAAAGCGGGAUGUUGACUAUGGGUCGUCACCUAGGAGGACGGAUGAGACUGGAUUCGGUCGCAGAAAAGAACAGGAAACAGUCGCUGCCUUGUUUAUCACUGUGUGGUAGAUAGCACCCCGGGGCCACCUCUCCACGCAGGGAGUUGGCACUGGGCACAGUGAGGGUCUCACACCUCUGCUGGUUCUCACCAACAGGAAGGUCUGCCACAUCGACAUCUUCAAGCAGCCCCUCCCCAAGCCCCUCCAUGUCACUUCAUCUUUAUCCUCAUUUAGGCUUUUCAGCAAACUCUCCUGCUCCUCAGUCAGCCCUCUUUUAUACUUCUUUAGACUUUUUCUCUGCAUCCUCCUGCCCCUGCCACCGUAACAAUGGAAAGAACUGUCAAAUCUUCUCAAAUACAUUUUUCUGCAUUUUUUUUUUUUUGCUUCUUCUCAUAUUUAACCUUGGUGAUAUUUUAAUUUUUUUCAGCUUGUGAAAGAUUGGAAAUCAGAAAGAAUGUAAGAAGUUUGUGUAGUA